CUGCUGCCUCCCGUAGGAGUUUGGGCCGUGUCUCAGUCCCAAUGUGGCCGUUCACCCUCUCAGGCCGGCUACUGAUCGUCGCCUUGGUGGGCCGUUACCCCGCCAACCAGCUAAUCAGACGCGGGUCCAUCUUGCACCACCGGAGUUUUUCACACUGAGCCAUGCGGCUCUGUGCGCUUAUGCGGUAUUAGCACCUAUUUCUAAGUGUUAUCCCCCGGUGCAAGGCAGGUUCCCCACGCGUUACUCACCCGUCCGCCA
rnacentral:rRNA from 1 species